rnacentral:lncRNA from 1 species
AAACAUGAAGGUUCUUUUAGAAGCAAAUCAUAGAAUCAUUUAAAAAACACAGUUUAAAAGACACUAAAGAUGAUAUUUAGCAGAUUUUGAUAACUGCAGUCUGGACCCUAAAGAAAAUAUUUAGCUCAUUCAAUGGUUUCCAAAAGCAGCCACUCGCAUCAAACAUUCCGUGAGUUUGAGAACCAUUUCAAGAUUUGGGGGCUCUGAGGAAGGGAGAACUUCAGGAAGCACUACCCCUUUGCCACCUCUCUGGCACCGUAUGCUCUAUCUUCUUUUUCCCUCUCAGUCCUCCCCUCUCCCAAAUUUCUCUCUAGAGUUUCAAAUACUUCUUCCUCUCUUGCGUAGAAUGGGUUCCUCUUUCUCCAGAAAUUCAGCUCCAGUCAGCAUCCAGGCUCUGAGCCAGGAAGGAACAUAACUUCUACCCUAGAACUUUCCUCUACAAACACAUUAAGCUACUCCUCUGAGCAAAAGCCUUCAUCUUAGCAUGAUCCGUCUUACUGAUGGUUUUAGAAACUUAUGGUAAUACUUGAUCCUUUUAUAAUUAUAAUAGACUUUUAUAUCAUCUUUACGUUUUCACUUAACUAUAUAGAUUAAGCAGUGAAAACCUUAACAGAAGUCUGGCUUUGUAGAUUAAUACUUAUCUGCUGCAGAAUACCCCUACUCCUACUCCUUCCUUUGAACAAUCAUCUUGUAUUGACAAUUCAAGAGAAGUGAGUGAGAGAGCUGGGAUAUGACUUCAGGAAUCCAUAUUCUUACUAACUACAUUAUGCUGGUUUUGGAGAAUUGUAGAGGACCUCUGAGGAAUCUUCCUGAGGAAUGCUCUUUGCAAAGCUCUGCUCCAGAGGUGACUAGAUGAUGGCACACCCCUGUUCUUGCCUUCCUGGCCUCCUGUUAAUAUGCAGUCUCUCAGACCAAGAUUGAUUCCUAGGGUACCUUGGGUUUUGGCAGGGGUAGAAUUAGAGCCUUGGUCCUUUGACUUCAGCUUACUCCCCUUCCGCUGACAUCUCUUUUCAG